GCAUCAUGCAAUGUCGUUUUUUUUUUUUUUCUUUCUUUCUUUGGUUUGCUAACUUCUCAUCUCAUUCACUGCAAUCAGGCUAAUUGCUGUGAUCGACCUCGAAAUAAUAGCAGAGAGGAGUGAUAUUAUUCCUGUUGUGGCUCGAGACAACAACGCCAAUUUUGGAACCGUCACUGUCGUAGAACAUGAAAGAAUUCCCGGACAAUCACCUCCUGCAAAUGCGCAAGCAACAGCCUCAGGAAAUCUGCGAUCUUUAAGUUACUCGUUUGACGGUUUUUAUCCACGACAAACUGUAAUUCGCAGAUAUCCUCAGUCACGUGAUCAUUUACAAGUUUUGAAGGAUGCAGAUGCACGUCAUGUUGAUAAUGCAGUAAAUGAGUCCAUUGAUCUCAAUGGAAGUGGAAGUGCUCAUGUGUUGCCGACGCGCUCUGAUCAAACUGUGAAGGUUGGUGGGCCAUCAGCCAAUGAUGUGACCACCGGACUCAUUUGUCUGAGUAGUGGAGUUGUGCCUUUGCUUGAGAAUGAAAACAGACCCGAAAAGCCUAUUCUUCAGGUCAUAGACCCGUUCGAUUCGAUUACCAAGAACUGCCGAAUGUUCAUUUCAGAUGGAUCUCAUAUGCGGCUCGCAUUUAUCCAUCCACAUUCUUUAAUUUUCAUAAAGCCCGCGAAGUUGCAGAACGGAACGAUCUUUCGUUUGGUCAGUUACAACUUCACUUCAAUUGCCAAACAGAAGCAUCGAAACCAUGCAUCAGGUGGGGUCCCAGUCCAUAGAUGAUCUGGUUCAAGAAUCAGGUCCUUCAACUCACUACACUGAGAUUUUGAUUAUUGGCAUUUCAGGUGACUGAUUCUUGGAUGAGGCCAUCUAACACAAUGGGGCAUGUGUGAUUGAUUAUUUCAAUUUCUCCUAUCACAUUUACGAAAAAAUAUACGAAUUUUUCACCCUUGAUUUUUAAACUAAUUGGGUUCUUUAUCCAUUUGCUCUGAUCAGGACGAUUAUCUUGAGCACCAUUGAGAUUGUGGCCAACAAUCACGACAUCAUAGGAGAACCUAAGCUGUAUUUAACAGCAGCCGACGACGAUUUUACUACGACAGUAUUUGGAAGUGCUCCCUUAGGCCCACGCCCAUCUUCCCCAACAGCAGAUUUUCAGGAAUAUCUUGAUGCUAGUUGCGGGAAUGAUCAGCACUCUCCCUUCCAACUACACCCAAUUCCAACAACAGAAAAUCUUCCAAGCAGCUCUAGUAAAAGCACCAAGCACAAAAUAUCAAAACCACACGAUCAGUUCCAUGCUCAAAUUCAUCUACCAUCAUAUCCCAAUUCAGCACUGCAAUCUCAGUUUUCAAAACCUUACCAACCGCAGCAGAGUCAGAGCUGCAAGGAGCUUUUGAACGAAAUGUAUGGCCUCCCGUAUUAUGUACCACCACCGCUCUCAGCCUCGCCAUAUUUUCUGCCACAGCACGAUGACUGUUGGAGGGUUGAAGCUGAUGUCUUGAAAGGUAGGCUGUUACAGCUUGAUUUAGAAAUGAAACGUGAGAAGGACGACCAUCAAGCCGAGGUGGCUCGUCUUAAGGCCGACAUGGAGGAUUACCAGAACCAGGUAUUCGUCUAUUUCUAUUCUUGUAUUUCGUGAUUUUCUAAUGACAUUUUUACAGGAGAGGCCUGAUCUUAUGAUCUAUGUUGUGGCUCAUCUUCUGAAUGGACAACAUGGAAGGUUUUUUAAUGGCAGGUUUCCCCAUCCCCACUGUUUCCUGUGGUGUGGCCUACUUGAGUUUUGGAUUGGCCUGAUAUUUGGGAUCACAUAUCACAGCGGUGUGCCCCACACAUGGCAUUGUAAAUUAAAUUUGACCUACAAAGCUUUGCGGUGGAUCCAGUGUAUGGCAUGUUUGGAUGCACCACGUAAUUGAAUUGCAACUCUUGUUUUGUAAGUGAUUAUAAUUACCAAAUUGACAUUUGCAAUUCAAUUCACCUGUGCAUCCAAAUGCGACAUGGGUGUUCAUGAUCACUUGUUAUGAUACUGAUCUCUACUUUUUUGCUUGUAGAUUAAUACGUUGGGGAAGGAACUCGAGGCGGCGAGGAAGAAAGCAGAUGCAAUCCCCAGAGUCAUGAAACCUAACAGUUCUUACAGCCUUUUUUGAAUUAGAAGUAUUUUAAUUUGAGUUUUGAGUUUGAAGAGGAAGAAGGUCCCCAAAGUGAAGCCUCACAUUUCUUAUAGCCGUUAUUUGAAUUAGAAGUAUUUUAAUUUGAGUUUAAAUAAGCUUCUCUUGAGACAUAUAUGAGCGUGUUUAUGAAAUUAGAGACUCUAGAAGAAAAGUAGAGAUUUUUCGUCUUCUGUGCAGAAACAAUUUUCUUGAUGUUUUGCUUUUUGAUUCAAAAUGCCAUCCCAUUGGCCUCGUGACCAG